CGUAGGUGGCAAGCGUUAUCCGGAAUUAUUGGGCGUAAAGCGCGCGUAGGCGGUUUUUUAAGUCUGAUGUGAAAGCCCACGGCUCAACCGUGGAGGGUCAUUGGAAACUGGAAAACUUGAGUGCAGAAGAGGAAAGUGGAAUUCCAUGUGUAGCGGUGAAAUGCGCAGAGAUAUGGAGGAACACCAGUGGCGAAGGCGACUUUCUGGUCUGUAACUGACGCUGAUGUGCGAAAGCGUGGGGAUCAAA
rnacentral:rRNA from 1 species